UGUUCUGUGGUUUAGUUGGUAAAAGCGCGGAUCUAGCCAAUACGGUGUCGUGGGUUUGAAUCCCACCAGAUUUC
rfam:Aedes albopictus isolate Foshan contig141187, whole genome shotgun sequence.